rnacentral:lncRNA from 1 species
GAGGGCAAGAAAAAUGGCUUAGGAAUUAAGAGCAUUUGUUGCUCUUCCAGAGGAGGGGUUUAGCUCCCAGCACACACAGGGUAGCUCACAACCGCUUGUAACUCCAGCACCCUCUUGGGAACUGUGGGCACUAUGCACACAUGAAUCGUGCAAUUACAGAGGCUGUGGGCACUAUGCACACAUGAAUCGUGCAAUUACAGAGGCAAGCAAAUUGCCCAUAUAUACAUAAUAAAUAAAUCUUUUUUAAAAAGAGGCAAAAUCCUGGGAGAGCUUUAGGAGAUUGUUAAGGGAUGUCUGUGGGGGAUGCUCGCUUCGGAGUGAGAGGACACAGCUACUCCCUACAGAGCUCUGAGAAUUAUUUCUUCACUUGGCUUUCUUCUAUAUUCUGUGCCUCAUUUCCCAGCAGGGGCUUCAAAAACAUAGCUUAAUGACUACCACACUAAAUUAUCACCUUGGACCAUCCUUUUUGUCACCUCAGACUUUUAAGUUUCAUCCUUUUUAACAUAAGUAGAAGCUAUCUAAAUGGUGCAAAGUGAAAAGUAUGUUUUCUGUUACCCGAAGACAACUACAGUUAAGGAUCCUUCCAGAAAGUGUCUUUGGAUCUUUAUCCAAAUGGGAGUCUUUUUUUUCUUUCUUUUAUUUUGGGGGGGGGGGUCAGUUUUCUGUAGUUCUUUUUAUGUAUUGAUCAGGUACGUUCACUUGGUUAAGCCACACAAGUAAGUGGCCGUUGCUCUCCAGGGGAUUAUGUUUGCAGUUCCAGGUAAUAGAAAACCCUAUUAACCCAACCUGAACAAUGAGUGGAGGGUUUUAGCUCCUGAAACUGGAAAGUCCAGAGGCAGCGCGAGUUUCAGGGUUGCUGUGAUCCAAGUGACUCAGUGAGGUCAGCAGGAUCUGGUUUCCUGUUCGCUGUCUGCCAGUGUCUUCAUCGUCGGAGAUUGGGGGUGGGGGUGAGGAGGGGGGCUCCACUUGAGACUGCCUCUAGCCUCCGUGAUGGGUCAUCACGGUAGUGAGGUCAAGGAGGGUCAGCCUGCCUCCAUGUCUGCUCCUUCUGCUUCACGCACAUGUUAGGAAAUGACCUUCCCUGUAGGAUGCUGGGAACGCUGCGGUGUGAGUUUCCCGGUAUCCUCCUGUGGGCUUUGCUCUUACAGUGUUUAUUUAAUAAAUAAACACACAGAUUUC